rnacentral:rRNA from 1 species
GGUUAAGCGACUAAGCGUACACGGUGGAUGCCCUGGCAGUCAGAGGCGAUGAAGGACGUGCUAAUCUGCGAAAAGCGUCGGUAAGGUGAUAUGAACCGUUAUAGCCGGCGAUGUCCGAAUGGGGAAACCCAGUGCAAUUCGUUGCACUAUCGUUAACUGAAUACAUAGGUUAACGAGGCGAACCGGGGGAACUGAAACAUCUAAGUACCCCGAGGAAAAGAAAUCAACCGAGAUUCCCCCAGUAGCGGCGAGCGAACGGGGAGCAGCCCAGAGUCUGAAUCAGCUUGUGUGUUAGUGGAACGGUCUGGAAAGUCCGACGGUACAGGGUGAUAGUCCCGUACACCAAAAUGCACAGGUUGUGAACUCGAAGAGUAGGGCGGGACACGUGGUAUCCUGUCUGAAUAUGGGGGGACCAUCCUCCAAGGCUAAAUACUCCUGACUGACCGAUAGUGAACCAGUACCGUGAGGGAAAGGCGAAAAGAACCCCGGCGAGGGGAGUGAAAAAGAACCUGAAACCGUGUACGUACAAGCAGUGGGAGCACCUUUAUGGUGUGACUGCGUACCUUUUGUAUAAUGGGUCAGCGACUUAUAUUCUGUAGCAAGGUUAACCGUAUAGGGGAGCCGCAGGGAAACCGAGUCUUAACUGGGCGUUAAGUUGCAGGGUAUAGACCCGAAACCCGGUGAUCUAGCCAUGGGCAGGUUGAAGGUUGGGUAACACUAACUGGAGGACCGAACCGACUAAUGUUGAAAAAUUAGCGGAUGACUUGUGGCUGGGGGUGAAAGGCCAAUCAAACCGGGAGAUAGCUGGUUCUCCCCGAAAGCUAUUUAGGUAGCGCCUCGUGAACUCAUCUUCGGGGGUAGAGCACUGUUUCGGCUAGGGGGUCAUCCCGACUUACCAACCCGAUGCAAACUACGAAUACCGAAGAAUGUUAUCACGGGAGACACACGGCGGGUGCUAACGUCCGUCGUGAAGAGGGAAACAACCCAGACCGCCAGCUAAGGUCCCAAAGUCAUGGUUAAGUGGGAAACGAUGUGGGAAGGCACAGACAGCCAGGAUGUUGGCUUAGAAGCAGCCAUCAUUUAAAGAAAGCGUAAUAGCUCACUGGUCGAGUCGGCCUGCGCGGAAGAUGUAACGGGGCUAAACCAUGCACCGAAGCUGCGGCAGCGACACGAUGUGUUGUUGGGUAGGGGAGCGUUCUGUAAGCCUGCGAAGGUGACCUGUGAGGGUUGCUGGAGGUAUCAGAAGUGCGAAUGCUGACAUAAGUAACGAUAAAGCGGGUGAAAAGCCCGCUCGCCGGAAGACCAAGGGUUCCUGUCCAACGUUAAUCGGGGCAGGGUGAGUCGACCCCUAAGGCGAGGCCGAAAGGCGUAGUCGAUGGGAAACAGGUUAAUAUUCCUGUACUUGGUGUUACUGCGAAGGGGGGACGGAGAAGGCUAUGUUAGCCGGGCGACGGUUGUCCCGGUUUAAGCAUGUAGGCUGGUUAUCCAGGCAAAUCCGGAUAAUCAAGGCUGAGGUGUGAUGACGAGGCACUACGGUGCUGAAGUAACAAAUGCCCUGCUUCCAGGAAAAGCCUCUAAGCAUCAGGUAACAUCAAAUCGUACCCCAAACCGACACAGGUGGUCAGGUAGAGAAUACCAAGGCGCUUGAGAGAACUCGGGUGAAGGAACUAGGCAAAAUGGUGCCGUAACUUCGGGAGAAGGCACGCUGGUGUGUAGGUGAAGUCCCUGCGGAUGGAGCUGAGACCAGUCGAAGAUACCAGCUGGCUGCAACUGUUUAUUAAAAACACAGCACUGUGCAAACACGAAAGUGGACGUAUACGGUGUGACGCCUGCCCGGUGCCGGAAGGUUAAUUGAUGGGGUUAUCCGUAAGGAGAAGCUCUUGAUCGAAGCCCCGGUAAACGGCGGCCGUAACUAUAACGGUCCUAAGGUAGCGAAAUUCCUUGUCGGGUAAGUUCCGACCUGCACGAAUGGCGUAAUGAUGGCCAGGCUGUCUCCACCCGAGACUCAGUGAAAUUGAACUCGCUGUGAAGAUGCAGUGUACCCGCGGCAAGACGGAAAGACCCCGUGAACCUUUACUAUAGCUUGACACUGAACAUUGAGCCUUGAUGUGUAGGAUAGGUGGGAGGCUUUGAAGCGUGGACGCCAGUCUGCGUGGAGCCAACCUUGAAAUACCACCCUUUAAUGUUUGAUGUUCUAACGUUGGCCCCUUACCGGGGUUGCGGACAGUGUCUGGUGGGUAGUUUGACUGGGGCGGUCUCCUCCCAAAGCGUAACGGAGGAGCACGAAGGUUAGCUAAUCCUGGUCGGACAUCAGGAGGUUAGUGCAAUGGCAUAAGCUAGCUUGACUGCGAGCGUGACGGCGCGAGCAGGUGCGAAAGCAGGUCAUAGUGAUCCGGUGGUUCUGAAUGGAAGGGCCAUCGCUCAACGGAUAAAAGGUACUCCGGGGAUAACAGGCUGAUACCGCCCAAGAGUUCAUAUCGACGGCGGUGUUUGGCACCUCGAUGUCGGCUCAUCACAUCCUGGGGCUGAAGUAGGUCCCAAGGGUAUGGCUGUUCGCCAUUUAAAGUGGUACGCGAGCUGGGUUUAGAACGUCGUGAGACAGUUCGGUCCCUAUCUGCCGUGGGCGCUGGAGAAUUGAGGGGGGCUGCUCCUAGUACGAGAGGACCGGAGUGGACGCAUCACUGGUGUUCGGGUUGUCAUGCCAAUGGCACUGCCCGGUAGCUAAAUGCGGAAGAGAUAAGUGCUGAAAGCAUCUAAGCACGAAACUUGCCCCGAGAUGAGUUCUCCCUGAGACUUUAAGUCUCCUGAAGGAACGUUAAAGACGAUGACGUUGAUAGGCCGGGUGUGUAAGCGCAGCGAUGCGUUGAGCUAACCGGUACUAAUGAACCGUGAGGCUUAACCUU